GGGUCAGUAGGUUGGUCGUGCCACCGGUACGUACUGGUCUCACUGAUUUCUCCUUCCUGAAGAACCGUAAUGCCAUUAAUUUGGUGUUGCGGGGAAACAGGACUGUUACUUUGAAAAAAUUAGAGUGGUUAAAGCAAGCUAACGCUUGAAUACAUUAGCAUGGAAUAAUGAAAUAGGACGAUCGAUCCUAUUUUGUUGGUUUCUAGGAUUGACGUA
rnacentral:rRNA from 1 species